ensembl:lncRNA
UAAGGAUAAAUAUUAGCUGUCAUUUAACUGUCGGAAGAAUGAAAAAGUGAUACAUUUGGGCUUUUUAGAUCAUUUGUAACUAAAUUUGUACAGAAAUUAUCCUGUGAAAUUAAGUAAACCAUUUUCCAGAUCUUGACUACAUUGCUGAGAUUUUGCAGUUGAAAAAUAAUUUCAAAUUUUUCAGGUUUUUUGUAUAUUUAUUUUUUUCUAACAAAUAUAUUUAACUAUAAAAUUAAAAUUAAGUAGUUAAACUCUUCAUAAUGCAGAAAUGGAUGGCUUUGAUUGAUAGAAAAAUGAGUCUUUCAGUUACACCAUUCUUGAAAAUAAUAGUGUAUUUUGAAAUUUGUCAUUAAUUAGUUGCUUUUCAAGGCAAUCUAUUUGAAAUAUGUAAUUUCCUGAUGUUAUCUGCAUUGUGUUAAGAAAAUAAUAGGCUAUAAAAUCAAUUUUUGUAAAAAAAUGUACAGUUUUAAGUUGUGUACAGAAAAAGGAAGAGCGUACACAGUCUUAGAGUGGAAUAUACCUCUAGUACAGUGUAUGUGUUAAUUCCAACUCGAGCAAAGAAAUGAGUAUUUACCAUCUUUCCUAUAACACGUAAAUGUAUUAUUCCUGUUCUACAGACACUGUAUAUUUAUGACCUUAUUUGGACAUUAUUAGACACUGGUUUCUUAGUAAAGCACAGUAACUUGGAUCAGAUUCUUUGUAACCGAAACACUUAAACAUGUAUUAGUAAUACCAAUAUAUUUAGAUUUUAUAUUUUUAUAAUUUAGCUUCUAUGCAUUGCAGAAGUUGAAUUAAGAAAUUUAAGUCAUCACCAUAUUUUUGUUUUCUUUACCUCUUGGGAAAAUAAUCCUCUUUGAGGCAGUAACACUAUGUAUGUACUGUUGAUAGGCCAGAAGGAAAUGUUGGCAGUUGUCUUAGGUAAGCAAUAAAAACAUCUCCAAUUUACUGAAAGUUCAGAACUGUAACUGUUACAUGCAUGGAAAGUGUAAACCAAUUUAGGUAUUUCUAAGUACCCAACCCUAAUAUUCUCUCCCUCAACUCCAACAUUCUCAAGUCCCAGAUGAAAAGUUUCAGUGGAGCAUUAGUUUAAAUAUUUAGUCUAAUCAGAGACUCACAGCCCUGGGCAAUAGAUACAUAGCUUUUUAAAAUUUUAUCCUUUGUGACCUGCUAUAGUGGCAUUGGACUAUUUUCUGCAUGUAUUAUAAACUAAAGAUUUUUUGGCCUUAUUUCAAUUGUUUUUAUUGCACAACUUCACUACAAAUUUAAAGACUGCUGGCAUUAUUAUAAAACUGUCUUCCUCCAAUCCAAGUAAAUAAGUGUGUGGAAUAUUUGUGAGCUGGAUUAGGUAACAUCUGAGACUUGGGAUUGACUAAAUUUAGUUAUCACUUGGAAAUGAAUUACAUAAGAUACAGUAAUCAGAGAAAAUAUCUUUGUGCAGCAUGUAUGUUAACAUCUAGAACUGUCCCUUGUCUGCAGUGCAGUAGAUGAAUCAGACAUUUUAAGAAUUGUAUUCAAAUAUUUUUAUCUUAUAUGUUAGCAGCAUUUACGUGUUUUCAGAUACGAUUUGUAAUAUAAAUUAAUUUCUCCAGUUAACAAUGUUUACUUCAAUUCUGACAUUCCAUUUUAUACAUCUAUACCUACUGUAUAUCUCUCUCAAAUGUCAGCUAGAAGCAACUUUUUCAGUUUUCUAUCUAAUGAAAACGGAUGUAUUCUGAAUGUUUUUGUGACCUGAAAUUUAUUUUUUGAGUAGGUUGAAAGGACCAAGAUACUUGAGUGAUUAAAGGGCUGUAAGUGUUCUGCUUAUAUGCAGGAGUUACAUGAUUUUAAAAGUCAUAAUAGGGGAAGUAGUUUUAUCAUCUGAUUACUCCUAUUAACCUAAAAAGUAUUUCUAACAUAACAGGUUGAGCAGUGGUUUUGUUACCUUAGGCAAGAAUUUAUUUUCCCAUUAAAAUUUGAAAAAUACACUUUUCUUUGCUUCUACCCUUGCAGUUUCCCUUAGUUCCCCUAAUUUCCAAGUGAUCUGAACUAAAAUUAAUAUUACAUUUACUAAGAAACUAUUUUUGUUAAUUAUACUGAGCAAAGUUUGCUCCAAAUGAAAAGUCAUUAUGAACUAUGUAUAGUACCCAAGAAAAGGUCAAAUUGAGUCAGAAGACUGUAAGUACCACUUUUGGCGCUCCAGAGAUAAACCUUGUACACACUGCAGUAAAACAGUGAGUAGAAAAUAUGAGCUAGAAAGAUAUUAUUUUUAGUUUUGAUAGCUCUGUGUUGAAAUACUUUUUUAAUGCAGAUAAAAAUUAUCAGGAAAUUAACCUUAUGGCACAGACCAAAUACUUAGUGUAUGGCUGAGUUUCUACAAUUCAAGGAGCCAAGAAAAUAGGUUCAAGAUGGAAUAUAGUACAUGCAUAUAAGGCAGAUGCACACAUGCUGGUUACUUUAAGAUUGUGUGUGUUGAUUAGUCACAAUGAUAGACUAUAACAUGAGACAAUACAAAGUUACAUUUUUGGACCAUAUUAAAACUGCAAGAAGACAGGGGUCUUACUGAAGAUCUUUUAGAAAACUUAAAUCCUGUCACAGGAUAUUUUGACAUGUGUAGAAUGUAGCUCAAUUUUUAAAAAGUAACUGACCUAGAGGGUGAAAGUUGAAACUGACACAUUUUCAAAUUAAGAUUAUGCUUAUUUUGUACAGAAAACAAUGUUUAAACACAAGCAGAUCUGUUGUAUGUAAUAAGUAACACAGAGUUUUAAAACAAAUUAAUUAUUUAGCUUUAUUGAAGUUUGUUUUUUUCCUUCCGAACCUGGAGUAUCAUAUUAUAAACAGCAGUUUCACACCAGAAUAGCAGUGCCCUUUCUUUUUGUACAUAUUGAUUGGACCUUUCUUUACUGUUACGUGGACACUUUCUAUGUUAGUUUUGAUGCAUAAUUCUUUGAAUCCUUUUAUACAAACUAGAAUGUAUGUGUAAGAAUACCUGUCCCUGCAAUGUAGUAACUACAAACUUAUUUUUAAAUAAAUAGAAAACUUGUUUUUCUAAGC